rnacentral:rRNA from 1 species
UACGAAGGGGGCUAGCGUUGCUCGGAAUCACUGGGCGUAAAGGGUGCGUAGGCGGGUCUUUUAAGUCAGGGGUGAAAUCUGGAGCUCAACUCCAGAACUGCCUUUGAUACUGAGGAUCUUGAGUUCGGGAGAGGUGAGUGGAACUGCGAGUGUAGAGGUGAAAUUCGUAGAUAUUCGCAAGAACACCAGUGGCGAAGGCGGCUCACUGGCCCGAUACUGACGCUGAGGCACGAAAGCGUGGGGAGCAAACAGG